AGUGAACGCUGGCGGUAUGCCUAACACAUGCCAGUCGAACGGCAGCACAGUAAGAGCUUGCUCUUACGGGUGGCGAGUGGCGGACGGGUGAGGAAUACAUCGGAAUCUACUUUUUCGUGGGGGCUAACGUAGGGAAACUUACGCUAAUACCGCAUACGACCUACGGGUGAAAGCAGGGGAUCUUCGGACCUUGCGCGAUUGAAUGAGCCGAUGUCGGAUUAGCUAGUUGGCGGGGUAAAGGCCCACCCAGGCGACGAUCCGUAGCUGGUCUGAGAGGAUGAUCAGCCACACUGGAACUGAGACACGGUCCAGACUCCUGCGGGAGGCAGCAGUGGGGAAUAUUGGACGAUGGGCGCAAGCCUGAUCCAGCCAUACCGCGUGGGUGAAGAAGGACUUCGGGUUGUAAAGCCCUUUUGUUGGGAAAGAAAAGCAGCAGGUUAAUACCCCGCUGUUCUGACGGUACCCAAAGAAUAAGCACCGGCUAACUUCGUG
rnacentral:rRNA from 1 species